AUUUGCUAAGGGUCUUUAUUUGCAAGAGGCCAGAAAUACAUGAAUUCUUCCUUAUGGAAUAGCUGUAUUAUCGCUGUUUGCAUGUGAGUGAACCUGAGGCUUAGAGAGGUCUAGAGUGGAGCCAAUAGCUACAGAAUUCUCACGGGCACAGAGUCAUGCCAGUGGGCUAUGAAUUCCCAUUAAACACAGCAUGAAGCUUCUUAUGUUGGAACCUGAUCCCUAGCAACAGAAACCCUAACUAAGACAGUGGUGCAUCCAUAUCAUGGGAUAUUGCUCAGCAGUAAGAAGGUACAAAUGACUGACAUCUUCAACAAGCUUGAUGAACCUCAGAAGCAUUAUGCUCAGUUUUGGGAAGGAGACCCAAAAGACUACACACAUACUGUGCAACUUUUUAUAAUGACCUGGAAAAAGUAUAACUUCAGGUACAAGGUUACCCAUGAUUGAUAGGAAGUGGAUGGUGCAAGGCAACAAACGCACCCUGAAGUGAUCAAAAAAUAUUAGAUUUUUGUAUUGUUAAGUGGCUUCAUGUAUUUUUGUCAAAAUCAUUAACUAGUGCAUUCAUGAAGGAUGCAUUCCUCAAUAAACCCAUUUUAAGGAGAAGCG